AACGAACGCUGGCGGCAGGCUUAACACAUGCAAGUCGAGCGCCCCGCAAGGGGAGCGGCAGACGGGUGAGUAACGCGUGGGGAUCUGCCUAGCGGUACGGAACAACACGGGGAAACUCGUGCUAAUACCGUAUAAGUACUUCGGGCGAAAGAUUUAUCGCCAUUAGAUGAACCCGCGCCUGAUUAGCUAGUUGGCGAGGUAACGGCUCACCAGGGCGACGAUCAGUAGCUGGUCUGAGAGGAUGAUCAGCCACACUGGGACUGAGACACGGCCCAGACUCCUACGGGAGGCAGCAGUGGGGAAUAUUGGACAAUGGGGGCAACCCUGAUCCAGCCAUGCCGCGUGAGUGAUGAAGGCCUUAGGGUUGUAAAGCUCUUUCGCUAGGGAAGAUAAUGACGGUACCUAGAUAAGAAGCCCCGGCUAACUUCGUGCCAGCAGCCGCCGCCGUAA
rnacentral:rRNA from 1 species